UACGUAGGUGACAAGCGUUGUCCGGAUCUACUGGGCGUAAAGAGCGCGCAGGCGGUCGAUCAAGUCGAGUGUGAAAGCCCCCGGCUCAACUGGGGAGGGUCAUUCGAUACUGAUCGACUCGAAGGCAGGAGAGGGUAGUGGAAUUCCCGGUGUAGUGGUGAAAUUCGUAGAUAUUCGCAAGAACACCAGUGGCGAAGGCGGCUCACUGGCCCGGUACUGACGCUGAGGUGCGAAAGCGUGGGGAGCGAACAGG
rnacentral:rRNA from 1 species